AUUGAACGCUGGCGGCAGGCCUAACACAUGCAAGUCGAGCGGAUGAGUGGAGCUUGCUCCAUGAUUCAGCGGCGGACGGGUGAGUAAUGCCUAGGAAUCUGCCUGGUAGUGGGGGACAACGUUUCGAAAGGAACGCUAAUACCGCAUACGUCCUACGGGAGAAAGCAGGGGACCUUCGGGCCUUGCGCUAUCAGAUGAGCCUAGGUCGGAUUAGCUAGUAGGUGAGGUAAUGGCUCACCUAGGCGACGAUCCGUAACUGGUCUGAGAGGAUGAUCAGUCACACUGGAACUGAGACACGGUCCAGACUCCUACGGGAGGCAGCAGUGGGGAAUAUUGGACAAUGGGCGAAAGCCUGAUCCAGCAAUGCCGCGUGCAGGAUGAAGGCCUUCGGGUUGUAAACUGCUUUUGUACGGAACGAAACGGUGAGCUCUAAUACAGUUUGCUAAUGACGGUACCGUAAGAAUAAGCACCGGCUAACUACGUG
rnacentral:rRNA from 1 species